rnacentral:rRNA from 2 species
GGCGACGAUCUGUAGCGGGUCUGAGAGGAUGAUCCGCCACACUGGGACUGAGACACGGCCCAGACUCCUACGGGAGGCAGCAGUGGGGAAUAUUGGACAAUGGGCGGAAGCCUGAUCCAGCCAUGCCGCGUGUGUGAAGAAGGCCUUUUGGUUGUAAAGCACUUUAAGCGAGGAGGAGGCUACUAGUACUAAUACUACUGGAUAGUGGACGUUACUCGCAGAAUAAGCACCGGCUAACUCUGUGCCAGCAGCCGCGGUAAUACAGAGGGUGCGAGCGUUAAUCGGAUUUACUGGGCGUAAAGCGUGCGUAGGCGGCUUUUAAGUCGGAUGUGAAAUCCCCGAGCUUAACUUGGGAAUUGCAUUCGAUACUGGGAAGCUAGAGUAUGGGAGAGGAUGGUAGAAUUCCAGGUGUAGCGGUGA